rnacentral:misc_RNA from 1 species
GGCACCCUUAUUUGAUGGGGGAGUAGGAUUGCUGAUUCUGCUAGCAAGGAAGCGGCGGAUCAGGCCUCUGAGGAAGGGAGCCAUGGUGUCUGGUUCAUGCUCCAGGUAGUACAUAAUACCACCCAUACAGGCACAAAACAAGGGCACCUCAGCAUUCUUGAUAUCUGGAAGCAAAUGGCGAUUCACCAAUAUAUACCACAAAGAAUCUGCAGCUCGAGGAAGAACAUACAAGGCAAGUUCCCCACGUCUAGCUUUCUUCUCAAGCAACACAGAGAGGCCUGAGAGAGCCCCAGCUAACCAAUAUACAAGCUUAUGGUCUUUUGAUGCCACCUUCCGGUGGCAAC